GAAGCUGGCUAGACAGUCGCCGUCCAGUGAUGGAGGGAGGAAAGUCCGGGCUGCAAAGAGCGGGAUGACGGUUAACGGCCGUCCGCCGUGAGGCGAGGAAUAGGGCCACAGAGACGAGCGUAUUAAGUUACGGUGAAACGCGGUAACCUCCAUUCGCAGCAAGACCAAAUAGGCUGGCAUUGGCGUGGCUCGCGUCGCCAGCGGGUAGGUUGCUUGAGCGCAUGAGUAAUUGUGCGCCUAGAUGAAUGACUGUCAUGCGUUGUAAAACGUAAACAGAACCCGGCUUAUCGGCCAGCUUCAACU
rnacentral:RNase_P_RNA from 1 species